AUGAGGACAGAGGUGCAUCGUGCUGGUAAUUUUCCACCACAAAGAGGGAUGAAUCUGUUACAAGCCAACCAAAAUCCCACGACCCCACCACACCCUCUCACUUCCCAGCUACAGUAUCCACACAGUGAAAAGAAAACGAGUCAGUGAGAGAGAGUCCGAGCGUCAGCGAUCAGAAACUUCCCAGGCAAAAGAAAACACUUUCACUUGAAGACCACGCCUUCUUCCUCGAAGAUCCUUUCAAUGAUGAUGCUUUAACCACUGCCCAGAUUAAUCAGAUUAUUCUGAUGCAUGGAUUCAGAAGAACACACAAGCGUUCCAAGGCACGUCGUUUAACCUCUUCUCAAUUGCUGCAUUUUUCAUUUUAUUUUCUUAAUUUUUAAUUUUUAGAGCAACACGGCGAUCGACACUGGAAGACAAUUUCUCACCGUACGAUGACGCAUCACUCUCGCUCGGUGAAGCGAAACAAGACUUGGAAUCUUUGAAAUGGCAGGAGUGUUCAGACCAAUCUAUCGAGACCGUGCUUUACAAUCACAAAACUAAUGAUGAAGUCAAAUCCAACGGUCAUGACGAUGCUUUGAGGAGUUUUGUGCGGUUGUCGCAAGAAGAGGAGAGAUCUAGGAGGAUGAGAGGUGUGAGUAGCAUUGUGGAUUAUCGGUGCGAUGCCUGGGCGUCCUGGUGGCGGUACGGACGUGGCUAUUGGCUGUGUAAAAUGUAAAUCAGUGGGGUCCGUCUUUGUACGUGGAUACGGACGCUGGGAGUUCCGAUUCGGUGUGGGCGAGAGCUAGUUGUCAAUGUAAGUAAAAACUGAAAAAGAUUAAUGAUUUGCAUGAUUAGAGUAGCGUUACAAUA